GCGGGUAUGGCGGAAUUGGCAGACGCGCUGGAUUUAGGUUCCAGUGCUGCGAGGCGUGUGGGUUCGAGUCCCACUACCCGUACCA
rnacentral:tRNA from 1 species